rnacentral:lncRNA from 1 species
UCGUAGUUUGCCCAGUGCCACCAGCUAUGCUCACUCAACUAAUAGAUUCUUGAUUUUUAGGGUGUAUUAUUGUUGGUUUGAAUGUGAAAUAAGAGUGAUAGAGGACAAAUAGGAGUAAUAAUGGAUAUUGAAGUCGAUAAAUUAAUUAUAAUUUUUAUUGUAUAUGAUAGGAGGACAUUGCAAAAUAGUGUCCAUUUCUGACACUUUACUAGAGUGAAUUACAAAUGUGUGUCGGUGCCUACUUAUAAGCAUGAUCUAACUCCUAAAAUAAUUAUAUUAAG